rnacentral:lncRNA from 1 species
GCCACCUGGGAGGCUGAGAUGAGAGGAGUGCUUAUGCCCUGGAGGUCAACGCUGCAGUGAGCUGUGAUUGCACCACUGCACUCCACCUGACAGAGUGACACCCCCCCAUCUCUAAAAAAUAAAAAAAAAAAAGUGGGAAGAACAAUCACACCACGGUUUAACUGAUCAGCUACGAUGGGAACUGUGAAAGGCAUUCCACAGAGUGAAUCAAGGCUUCAGGAGGAGGCCCUGACUUAUCCUGGAGGCAGAGGGUUCUCCCAGGAAUGGCGUCUUAGCUGAAGCCUGACCCAGAAGGUAGACGGGCAGGAACGAGGUAAUGUGGAGACUGUUGGGAGCAGGCAAGGACUUCAUCCCAAGGCAAUGGGAGGCCCUCUGUACUCCCUCUUGUGAUAACUGCUUCCCUUCUUUCGGGCAGUGCUCCUGACCCCACUCUAGCUGUGUGGGUGGGUCCCUACCUGGUUGAGUCAACCAGAUCCCAUCCCUGGGAUUUUAAACUUGGAACCAGAAGGAGAGUGAUCAUCACCUCUUUUCUAGGGUGAAUCAAUGAGAAGUGAGGCUCCGAAGCUUGGAUCUCAAGUUCACAGAAGCAGCUGGUUGAGGGUGAAGCUUGCACACAGAGGCCAAGGAAGGAUGCCUACCCAUGUCCAGCUGCCCCAGGGCCCUUUCAGGACUGCUAUUUUGAGCCCCUUCCUUCCUUAACUGGUUUGAAUUGGUCACCGUCACUUGCAACCUAUUGAGUCCUAGCUAAUGUACCAUGACAGGGUUCAAGACUUGGUCAGAGAAGAGCUGGGGUAUAGGAUGCUGGGGAAGGGUACCCAUUAAUCCUCCCUUCUAAGUGGUAACUGAGAGAAUGAACAAGAACAAUAUACAGUUAAAUGAAAAUAAAAAGGCACAGUGGCUCAAGCCUAUAAUCCCAGCACUUUGGGAGGCCGAGGCAGGCAGAUCACAAGGUCAGGAGUUCGAGACCAGCCUAACCAACAUGGUGAAACCCCAUCUCUACUAAAAUUACAAGAAUUAGCCAGGCGUGAUGGCGCGCCACCUGUAAUCCCAGCUGCUCAGGAGGCUGAGCAGGAGAAUCACUUGAACCCGGGAGGCGGAAGUUGCAGUGAGCUGAGAUCAUGCCACUGCACUCCAGCCUGGGCGACAGAGCAAGACUCCGUCUUAAAAAAAAAAAAAAAGAAAAUAAACACAGACGCUUUAAGGAUCAGUUAACAACAAGACACAGACUCUAAUAUUCACUGACAUAAAGUUUCAGAAAGGGCAAAAUUAAUCUCUGGUGACAGGGGCCAGAACAGUGAUGACCUGGGGUGGGGUGUGGGUUGGUCUCUCCUGUGAGGUUUGGAAGGGCAGGCACGUGCCAUGACACCUGGUUGAUUUCUAAAGAUUUUGUCGAGGCAGGGUCUCUGUUGCCCAGGCUGGUCUCGAACUCCUGGCCUCAGGCCAUCCUCCUAACUAGUUCUCCCCAAGUGCUGGGAUCACAGGUGUGAGCCACUGCACCUGGCCCUGUUCAGAUUUUCUAUUUUUCCUGGGACAAUUUUGGUCAUUUGUAUCUUUCUAGGAAUUUUUUUGUUGUUGUUUUGAGACAGAGUCUCACUCUGUCACCCAAGCUGGAGUGCAAUGGCAUGAUCUCAGCUCACUGCAACCUCUGCCUCCUGGGUUCAAGUGAUUUUCCUGCCUCAGCCUCGUGAAUAGCUGGGAUUACAGGUGUGAGCCACCACGCCUGGCUAAUUUUUGUGUUUUUAGUAGAGACAGGGUUUCACCACUUUGGCCAGGUUGGUCUCGAACUUCUGACCUCAGGUGAUCUGCCUGCCUCGGCCUCCCAAAGUGCCGCGAUUACAGGCGUGAGCCACCACACCCAGCCAAGAUGUCGCAUCUUUUUAAAUGUUGGCAUUUGCAGCUAUAAAUUUCCCUCAGAGCAGUUUUUGCCGCAUUCCUUAAGUUCUGGUAUGUUGUUUUCAUCCAUCUCUAUUUCCUAAUUUUUCUCGUGAUUUCUCCUUUGACCCUUUGGCUGUUAAAAAGUGUGUUCAAUUUCUAUGUAUGUGUGAAUUUUCAUUUUCCUUCUGGUAUGGAUUUCUGGUUUUAUUCCAUUGUGAUUGGAGAAGGUGGUUUGCAGGAUUCCGAUCUCUAAUUUACUGAGACUUGCUUUGUGCACUAACGUGUGGUCUGUCCUGGAGAACGUUCCCUGUGCACUUAGAAACGUGUGUUCUGCUGCUAUUGGGUGGAGCACUGUUAAGUCUGGUCAGCCUUUUGGUUUUUAUGUAAUACUUGGCACAUUCACAAGAAAAUGUGUGAAACAGAAAGUACGACAAAGUGAAACCCACGAAGCCACCACUGACCCUGAGGUUCAAAACCUCCAGCAUCUCUGCUCUUCCCUAAGCACAGCUCCGUCCCCUCCCCACGGGUGAGCACUGUGUUGUACUGACUCCCUGCCCUCCCUGAUGACUUUAGCACCUGGGUAUGAAUUCCACACAUAUUUGGUUUUGAGCUUUAUAAAAAUGGCAUCAUACUGUAUGAACUGUCUUGCUUUUUCAUCCCACGUUGUUUCUGAGAGGUGUUUGUGAUGGAGCACAGGGCCAC